rnacentral:rRNA from 1 species
UAUACCCCCCCGUGGACUAAGCAUAUCAAUAAGCGGAGGAAAAGAAACCAACAGGGAUUGCCUUAGUAGCGGCGAGUGAAGCGGCAAAAGCUCAAAUUUGAAAUCUGGCUCUUUCAGAGUCCGAGUUGUAAUUUGAAGAAGGUAUCUUUGGGUCUGGCUCUUGUCUAUGUUUCUUGGAACAGAACGUCACAGAGGGUGAGAAUCCCGUGCGAUGAGAUGAUCCAGGCCUAUGUAAAGUUCCUUCGAAGAGUCGAGUUGUUUGGGAAUGCAGCUCUAAGUGGGUGGUAAAUUCCAUCUAAAGCUAAAUAUUGGCGAGAGACCGAUAGCGAACAAGUACAGUGAUGGAAAGAUGAAAAGAACUUUGAAAAGAGAGUGAAAAAGUACGUGAAAUUGUUGAAAGGGAAGGGCUUGAGAUCAGACUUGGUAUUUUGUAUGUUACUUCUUCGGGGGUGGCCUCUACAGUUUAUCGGGCCAGCAUCAGUUUGGGCGGUAGGAGAAUUGCGUUGGAAUGUGGCACGGCUUCGGUUGUGUGUUAUAGCCUUCGUCGAUACUGCCAGCCUAGACUGAGGACUGCGGUUUAUACCUAGGAUGUUGGCAUAAUGAUCUUAAGUCGCCCGUCUAAACACCGGGCCACAACA